AUCGGUUUGGAAGUACAGACCUAUUUAUGCAAAGCAAGUUUAAAGCAGUUCACCAUUUAGUGUAAUCAUUAAUACCCUUCAUUGCGAAUUCCUUCUAAUUUAACGACUCAUAAGUACAUCUAGCACAAACCCUCUAUCCGCCCUUGGCGAAUUAAAUAAAUUUAAGGAAUUCUAUAUGUCAGCUACAAUGACUGGUUUAGUAAAAUGGUUUAACGAAUCUAAAGGCUUCGGCUUUAUUGCUCCAAAAGAUGGUAGCAAAGAUGUUUUUGUUCAUUAUUCAGCAAUUCAAAGUAAUAACUUUAAAACAUUGCAAGAUGGACAAGAAGUCAGCUUCUCAAUCGAAGACGGAAGUAAAGGCCCUUCAGCUGCAAAUGUUAUUGUUCUUU
rnacentral:sRNA from 1 species